rnacentral:rRNA from 1 species
GUACACGCUGUGACUAGCAUAUCAAUAAGCGGAGGAAAAGAAACUAACAAGGAUUCCCCUAGUAACGGCGAGUGAAGCGGGAAGAGCUCAAAUUUGAAAUCUUAAAGGGUUUCCCUUUACGAAUUGUAGUUUAAAGAAGUGUUUUCUGUUGAGGUUUUGGUAAAAGUUCUUUGGAAUAGGACAUCAUAGAGGGUGAGAAUCCCGUAUUUGACCUUUACUUUCAACUUUGUGAUACACUUUCAAAGAGUCGGAUUGUUUGGGAAUGCAGUCCAAAAUGGGUGGUAAAUUUCAUCUAAAGCUAAAUAUUGGCGAGAGACCGAUAGCGAACAAGUACCGUGAGGGAAAGAUGAAAAGAACUUUGAAAGAGAGAGUUAAACAGUACGUGAAAUUGUCAAAAGGGAAGCGUUUGACACCAGUGUUGUUUUUCUGAAAAUCAAUUAAAGAACUGUUUAUGCUAAGCUGUUUAGACUUUAUCAGCUAAUCUGUUUAGUUUUGAGCUUUUCUUUAAUGCACUUUUCAGUUAACAAGUCAACAUCAAUUUCUUUUGCUGUAAAAAAGCUUGAGGAAGGUGGCUUGAGAUUCGUCUUAAGUGUUUAUAGCCUCUUGCCUAUGCAGUCGGAGAGAUUGAGGUCUGCAGCGUAGAUCCUUCGGGGCUAAAUGCAUUUGUGCUAAGUUAUAGCAUUUUAUAGACAACUUGUUGACUAUGAUUUGUCUUGUAGCUUACUCGCUUAUGUUAUUUUACCUACGCUUAGGAUGUUGAAGAUGUAGCACAUCAU